rnacentral:rRNA from 1 species
CUACGGAGGGGGCUAGCGUUGUUCGGAAUUACUGGGCGUAAAGCGCGCGUCGGCGGAUCGUUAAGUCAGGGGUGAAAGCCCGGAGCUCCACUCCGGAACUGCCCUUGAUACUGGCGAUCUCGAGUCCGAGAGAGGUGAGCGGAAUUCCUAGUGUAGAGGUGAAAUUCGUAGAUAUUAGGAGGAACACCAGUGGCGAAGGCGGCUCACUGGCCCGGUACUGACGCUGAGGUGCGAAAGCGUGGGGAGCAAACAGGAUUAGAAACCCUAGUAGUCC